GGGUUGUGAGGUUAAGCGACUAAGCGUACACGGUGGAUGCCCUGGCAGUCAGAGGCGAUGAAGGGCGUGCUAAUCUGCGAUAAGCGCCGGUAAGGUGAUAUGAACCGUUAUAACCGGCGAUACCCGAAUGGGGAAACCCAGUGUGAUUCGUCACACUAUCAUUAACUGAAUCCAUAGGUUAAUGAGGCGAACCGGGGGAACUGAAACAUCUAAGUACCCCGAGGAAAAGAAAUCAACCGAGAUUCCCCCAGUAGCGGCGAGCGAACGGGGAGGAGCCCAGAGCCUGAAUCAGCAUGUGUGUUAGUGGAAGCGUCUGGAAAGGCGCGCGAUACAGGGUGACAGCCCCGUACACAAAAGCGCAUAUGCUGUGAGCUCGAUGAGUAGGGCGGGACACGUGGUAUCCUGUCUGAAUAUGGGGGGACCAUCCUCCAAGGCUAAAUACUCCUGACUGACCGAUAGUGAACCAGUACCGUGAGGGAAAGGCGAAAAGAACCCCGGCGAGGGGAGUGAAAAAGAACCUGAAACCGUGUACGUACAAGCAGUGGGAGCCCCACCACUAAGCCAGUGGUGAACUCCACAUACGCAUCCUUUGCUGAGGAGACGGUUAACGGAGCGAAAGCGACGUUCAACCUCAAAAGAAGCAGAGGGGGCUUAGUGGUGGGGUGACUGCGUACCUUUUGUAUAAUGGGUCAGCGACUUAUAUUCUGUAGCAAGGUUAACUGUAUAGGGGAGCCGGAGGGAAACCGAGUCUUAACCGGGCGUUAAGUUGCAGGGUAUAGACCCGAAACCCGGUGAUCUAGCCAUGGGCAGGUUGAAGGUUGGGUAACACUAACUGGAGGACCGAACCGACUAAUGUUGAAAAAUUAGCGGAUGACCUGUGGCUGGGGGUGAAAGGCCAAUCAAACCGGGAGAUAGCUGGUUCUCCCCGAAAGCUAUUUAGGUAGCGCCUCGUGAAUUCAUCUCCGGGGGUAGAGCACUGUUUCGGCUAGGGGGCCAUCCCGGCUUACCAACCCGAUGCAAACUGCGAAUACCGGAGAAUGUUAUCACGGGAGACACACGGCGGGUGCUAAUGUCCGUCGUGAAGAGGGAAACAACCCAGACCGCCAGCUAAGGUCCCAAAGUCAUGGUUAAGUGGGAAACGAUGUGGGAAGGCCCAGACAGCCAGGAUGUUGGCUUAGAAGCAGCCAUCAUUUAAAGAAAGCGUAAUAGCUCACUGGUCGAGUCGGCCUGCGCGGAAGAUGUAACGGGGCUAAACCAUGCACCGAAGCUGCGGCAGCGACACCGUGUGUUGUUGGGUAGGGGAGCGUUCUGUAAGCCUGUGAAGGUGUGCUGUGAGGCAUGCUGGAGGUAUCAGAAGUGCGAAUGCUGACAUAAGUAACGAUA
rnacentral:rRNA from 1 species